rnacentral:rRNA from 1 species
GUCCACGCAGUAAACGAUGAUCACUAGCUGUUUGCGAUACACUGUAAGCGGCACAGCGAAAGCGUUAAGUGAUCCACCUGGGGAGUACGCCGGCAACGGUGAAACUCAAAGGAAUUGACGGGGGCCCGCACAAGCGGAGGAACAUGUGGUUUAAUUCGAUGAUACGCGAGGAACCUUACCCGGGGUUUGAACGCAUUUCGACAGCUCUGGAAACAGAGUCUCUAGCGAUAGCGAUUUUGCGAGGUGCUGCAUGGUUGUCGU